rnacentral:misc_RNA from 1 species
GAUGAAGAACGCAGCGAAAUGCGAUAAGUAAUGUGAAUUGCAGAAUACAGUGAAUCAUCGAAUCUUUGAACGCACAUUGCGCCCCCUGGUAUUCCGGGGGGCAUGCCUGUCCGAGCGUCAUUACAACCCUCAAGCUCAGCUUGGUAUUGGGCCCCGCCGCUCCGGCGGGCCCUAAAGUCAGUGGCGGUGCCGUCCGGCUCCGAGCGUAGUAAUUCUUCUCGCUCUGGAGGUCCGGUCGUGUGCUCGCCAGCAACCCCCAAUUUUUUUCAGGUUGACCUCGGAUCAGGUAGGGAUACCCGCUGAACUUAAGCAUAUCAAUAAGCGGAGGA